rnacentral:rRNA from 1 species
CCCUUAGAUGUUCUGGGCCGCACGCGCGCUACACUGACGGAGUCAACGAGUUGUCCUGCAUCGGAAGGUGGGGGUAAUCUUUUGAAACUUCGUCGUGCUGGGGAUAGAUCUUUGCAAUUUUCGAUCUUGAACGAGGAAUUCCUAGUAAGCGUGAUUCAUCAGAUCGCGUUGAUUACGUCCCUGCCCUUUGUACACACCGCCCGUCGCUACUACCGAUUGAAUGGUUUAGUGAGGCCUCGGGACUGGCGCGCUCGAGUAGCAAUACACCUGCGCGCCGGGAACUUGGUCAAACUUGAUCAUUUAGAGGAAGUAAAAGUCGUAACA